rnacentral:lncRNA from 1 species
UCUCUUUUUAUUUUCUGUUGUGCAACCAAAUAAAGUCUAAGUCUUUUCAAUUGGUAUCUUGUUCUCCAUUCUCUCUAUAACCCACUCUCUUUCAUUCCCUUAUUGAAAUUUCCCUCACAUAGAAAAAGAUCUAACCUUCCCCAAACGCUUUUCAAUAGAAAUCAAAUACCAUUCGUAUGACUUUGCGGUGUUACAUAAUCAAAUGCGUUUUAAACUUUAAAGUUUCCUCUUUAAUAAAUAGCUUCCCUCAUCUUUUGUAAUGAUUCAAUGUUCAGAAGCUAAAUCUAAGACCUGUAGUUCAUAGCAAAAUCUUCUUCCAAACUUAAUAUCCAAUUUAACCUUUUUCAUUACCGCUAAUGCUAGUUUAUUUUCUACCAGUUGCACAAAAACAUGAAGGCACCGGACAUAAAAGCCCUCUACCUGAAGCAUGAGAGAUCAUCAAAGAGAAGAAAAAAAUGGUGUUUGGGGAAGCUUCACAUCUCUUUCUUUCAUUGAGUGAAAUUUCAAUAAGGAAUGAAAGAGAGUGGGUCAUAGAGAGAAAAGAGAGAAUAUGAUAGCAAUUGAGAAGGCUUGCUUAUCUUUAGUGAUGAGAUGAAAAAAAUUACAUUGUUAAGUUAUAAUUGGUUACUAAUGGC